GCGGGUAUAGUUCAGAGGCAGAACCUCAGCCUUCCAAGCUGAUGACGCGGGUUCGAUUCCCGCUACCCGCUCCA
rnacentral:tRNA from 1 species